UACACAUUGUUAGGUGCGGAAAGCAGAGAAUCCAGAAUUAGAUGCAAACAAUGGAAUAACAGUUGUGCUGAGGGCACUGGACAGCCACAUAUUUCACUACAGAUAAGAGGAGAUAAUAAUGUUUCUCUUCUGAAAUACGGGCUCUAUUCAAUCUCUCUUCAGUUUUCAUGAACUGGAGUUCCAGGUUCUGUUGUAGAGAACAACACUUCAGGUGCAGGGGAUGCUCCUAGGCAGUCGGAAAUUCUGAUGUCUAGGCUUUGAAAAGGAGGGUUGGGCAAUACUUCAGGGAAAGUUUCACUUGCUGCGAACAGUGUAGCCAAAACUUUUUCCAUAUUGAAUCAUCAGUGACUAAGAUUUCUCUAUUUUGAUAAAGAAAGUUGAGGAAGAAUAGGAGAAGAGCAGAACCUGCUGAUACACCAGCUAUGAGGAAAAGUCCCUUAAAACUGUCUAGCGUGAGGCUAUCAGAUGUUAUAUCCAUUAUAUCUUUCUGUGGACAAUCUGUUUCAUUCCCAAACCAUUUCUGAAUUAUGUUAUUCAUAUCUCCCUCCAUCACCUUCAAGACUGCUCUUGAUACAUCUGGUACCAAAGGUGAUCCUUUUGGAAAUGCCUGUAAGAAGUUGUGUGAUAAUAAAAGACUAGAUUGAGUGAACUACCGUGGAUAGUAUAAUUUCAAUUAUGGAACAUUUCCAGGCGCAGAGAGAAUCUUACAAAUCCAAAACCAGCAGUCUUGUAAGUCGGACCAACCAUAGUAUACUUCCUGCAGUAUUUAUUGAGGAAGAGUCUGAGAUAAGGUAGUUCAUCAACAAUUGCACCUACACCUCCAUUUUUACUACCCCUUGAGAGUGCAUCAUUAUACUCUUCCAAUGUGCUAUAACUCCUAAAUUUGGAGCUGUCAAAUUGCAUGCCCUUCAAGACAUCUUUGACACAGGAACCUUUUUGGUACCCUACAUAUUCUCCAUUCUUGAUGAGAUCAUUGAGGUCUGUUACAGUAGGUUGAAGCUUUUGUGCUGUUAACAUAGAUGUUAAGCUGGCUGUAUAGCUUGAUGUCAGCACCAGAACCACGAAAACCCACACAAUCAGCACAAAUCUUGUCAAGUUACUUGUUACCCUCUCUCCUGCAAUAACCAGCCAUAUAUAUGAUUUGUUGAGAAAUUCUAAAGUUCUCAUCUAUAAUUUGCUUUGAGUUAGAGACUUACUAUGAGCAAAAACGAGAGUUGAGAAGGAAAACCAUAAUAUCAUCCCAACUUGCUUGCAUUUGGGUCCUCGAAACUCUUUGUUUACACGAUGCUCCAGUACCCACACAACAAAACCAAUGAAAACAAAGAAUGCUCCAGUUGUCAUCCAAAGCUCUCUCUUUAGAGGUUUCACGAAAAUCCAAGCACUCUUCCUGUCAUCAUCCUUUACUAGCACAACUGCAGAAAAACCUGACUCUGUAAAAGGUAAUGUGAAAUCCACAUACUUGGAUCGGUUCGCUGAAAUGGUCACGUCACCUAUAACUGCAUCAUGUUUCUGGUUUAAGUAAACAAUGGUUGGUUCAGUGCUUUUGCCAAAGAAAAAGCAAAAUAAGAAAAUCCAAAGGGAGCAUGUGGGUAAGGUAUUCCGCCAAAGAGGCUAAUUCAAACAAGGAUUAGAUAUUACCUCAAAAAAGAGCUUAUAAGCAAGAUCAUCAUAUCCUGGAGAAUUGGGGCUACGUGUUAUUGGAACUGGAACAAAUUCGUAAGGGACAGCAUAAGGCAAAGAUUGGAUGACUUCUUUGAAGACAUCAGCACAGAAACCAGUUGCAGUAACUGCUUGUGUUUUUGAAUCUCUUUCCACUUUAAUGAAUUCCUGCAGCCCUCCUUUGACAGGAACUCCAACCCUU